rnacentral:lncRNA from 1 species
UUUGGUUAUUUUUGUAAUUACGAAUUUAAUAUUUCAGAUAUUAGUAUUUUAUUUUAAAUAGAAUUCUAAAAGAGAAGAGAGAGAGAGUAUUUAAGGGAGGAAUCUAUUGUGAAAAAGGGGGGAUUUGGAUUGGAGAAAAACAAAGAAACCCUAGAUCUUAAUUUUUCUCUUCUCUCUAUGAAGAACUAAACCUAUUUUUCUGGUUGAAGGAUAAUGAAGCUUUGAUUCAUCACUACUGUGAGAUCUUUCUUGUGCUUUAAUUGUUUUAUUGUUUUUUGGGUAUUUGUUUAUUCUCUGAAUUAUUUUCAUGAUUAUGUUUGUUAAUUAGGUAAUUGGCCACUAUUUAAUUAUCAACUUAAUCUAUUGUCAAUUAAAGGAUUCAUCGUAUGAAGAAUUUAAUGUUUGUGACAAAUAACAUAGCAGAGAGUUGUGUUGUGAGAAUAAACAAUCUAAUUUAAAUGAAUCAUCAUAUGUGUUGAUUAGGAUUUGGGUUUCUCUGGUUUUUCAGGCUGUCAAUUGAUUAAAUCCUAUGAUCGUAUCUAGGGUUGUCUAUUGAUUAGGGAAAUAACCAAUGGUCGUACCUUGGUUAUCGACUAGUUAAGGAGAGAUUGGCUAUUAGAGGGUCUCAGUAGCUAUAACCGGUCUAUUCAUAAGUAAUAAUAAUCUAUAUUUGAAUCAAUGAUCAGUAGUCGAAUCAAGCUGAGUUAAUUCCUUCAACCAGAGCUUUCUCCAAUUUGAAUCACAACUUUAAUUUACAUUCUCGUUAUUUUAAUUUGAUUUUUAUUAUUGUCAACAAUUCCCCCAUUUUACGUUUUACGUUUUAAAAGGAUUUAAAUAAUUACCGAUCUCUGUGGACACGACCCUGCUCAAUCACUAUACACAAUUUAUUUAGAGUAGGAAUUUAUUUUUGUUGGCUUCGACACCCAUCAAAUUUUGGCGCCGUUGCCGGGGAUUGGUGUCAUUUAUUUAAUCCUUUUUACGUUUUACUUGGUGUAUGGUUCUUUCUUCUUGUACAGGUACACUUUCGUUUGAUCCUGAAAUUGAGAAGACAGCUCGCCAGCUGAGACAGCAGACAAAGCGAGCUAAGCAACGAUCCUCGUCGCCUUUGCUUUCUGAAACAGAUACGGUGCCUGAUUUAGUUGAAUCAUCUAGCGAUUCAGAAGAACAAGUGAUGGAUAGAGCUGCACCUGUAGAAAGAACUCUUAGAGAGUUAGCUGAACCAGACUUGAAUCAACAACCACUCUGCAUUCAAUAUGUAGACUUGGAGGUAAAUUUUGAAUUAAAGUCUGGUCUUAUUCAUUUAUUACCCAAGUUUCAUGGUUUUGCAGGUGAAGAUCCUCAUAAACAUCUUAAGGAGUUUCAUGUUGUGUGUUCAAGUAUGAGACCACAAGGCGUGACUGAAGAGCAGAUUAAGCUGCGUGCUUUUCCGUUCUCUGUAGAUGGGCUAGCUAAAGACUGGUUGUAUUACUUGCCUCCUGGAUCGAUUACAACGUGGAAUGAUUUGAAGAAGCAGUUCCUCGAGAAGUACUUUCCUGCUUCAAGAGCUGCCAACAUCAGAAAAGACAUUUGUGGGAUCAGACAACUUCCUGGGGAGACUUUGUAUGAGUAUUGGGAGCGAUUCAAACAAUUGUGUGCCAGUUGUCCUCAGCAUCAGAUUUCUGAUCAACUUCUUAUUCAAUAUUUUUACGAAGGACUAUCAUUGAUGGAUAGGAGUAUGAUAGAUGCUGCUAGUGGAGGUGUGUUAGUGAACAAGACCCCUACUCAAGCAAGGGAGUUGAUAUCAAAUAUGGCUGCCAACGCACAACAAUUUGGCAGCAGGCAAGAUCCUACUUCAAGGAAGGUGAAUGAGGUAAAUAUUUCUUCUGUUGAACAACGUUUAAAUAAACUUACUUCUCUUGUGGAAAAGUUUGUUGUAGGCAAUGUGCAACAGGUGAAGACUUGUGGCAUUUGUUACAAUAUGGGUCAUUCAACUGAUAUGUGUCCUACACUUCAAGAAGAACCCGUUGAACAAGCCAAUGCAGUUGGAGGAUUUCCAGGCAUGCCUCAAAGGAGGUAUGAUCCUUAUGCACAAACAUACAAUCCGGGAUGGAAGGAUCAUCCCAACUUCAGCUAUGGAGUUAGGCCGUCAGGAUUCCCACAACAGUAUCCACCAAGACAACCAGCACCUCCACAGUUAAACUCCAAGUCAGGUAUAUCUCUUGAAGAAAUUGUUAAAUCACUUGCGACUAACACUCAACAGGCAACUACAGCAAGCAUUCAGAACUUGGAGAACCAAAUGAGUCAAUUGGCGACUACAGUGAGCCGUCUGGAGUCUCAAGUAUUAGAGAGAUUGCCUUCACAAUCUGAGGUGAAUCCAAAGCAAAACGUUAGUGCUGUCAUCCUUAGAAGUAGGAAGGAGUCGCAAGAGCCUAGUAAGAAAGUGACAAAGCAUGUAGAAGAUGAGCUUGAGAAGAAUGAAUUGAUGCCUAAAUUUCAAGAUGCGCAACCCACCAGAGCGAAACCCCUACCUACUGUGAUACCUCCUCCUUUUCCAAGCCGGUUUGCAAAAUCCAAGAAGGAGGAACAAGAGAAAGACAUCCUUGAGACAUUUCGCAAGGUUGAGGUAAAUAAUCCUUUAUUAGAUGCUAUAAAACAAAUACCUCGAUAUGCUAAAGUCCUUAAGGAACUGUGCACCUCCAAGAGAAAAUUAAGAGGAGAUGAAAAAGUUCACAUGGGGGAGAAUGUUUCAGCAGUUCUCCAAAAGAAACUACCUCCUAAGUGCAAGGAUCCAGGUAUGUUUACUAUCCCUUGUAAAAUUGGUAGUGUUAGAAUUGAAAAGGCUUUGUUAGAUCUAGGAGCUUCUAUUAAUGUCAUGCCUCGUUCCAUUUAUUCAUCUUUGAAUGUUGGUCCAUUAAAAGAAACUGGCGUGAUAAUUCAACUAGCUGAUAGGUCUAAUGCAUAUCCUGACGGGGUAUUAGAAGAUGUCUUAGUACAAGUUAAUGAGUUGGUUUUUCCUGCUGAUUUUUAUGUACUUGAUAUGGAAGAUGAUAACUCCUCUAAUUCUGUCCCAAUUUUGCUAGGAAGACCUUUUCUUAAGACUGCUAGGACUAAAAUGGAUGUACAUAAAGGGACUCUCACUAUGGAGUUUGAUGGAGAGGUUAUAGAAUUCAAUAUGAAUGAUGCCAUGAAAUAUCCUAGUGAGGAACAUUCGGUAUUUUCUGUGGAUGUUAUUAACCCUAUAGUGCAGGAAGUUUUUUACAAGGAAAAGACGAAGACAUUUCAUGAUACAAUGAUUUUGAGAAAGGAGUUCUCUGUUGGUAAAAACGUUCUUCUUUUUCAUUCUAAGCUUAAACUUUUUCCGGGUAAAUUACGUUCUUGUUGGGUUGGACCUUUUAUUGUUACUAAUAUUUUUCCUCAUGGUGCAGUUGAGAUUCGGAGUCCGACCUCUGACAAAGUUUUUAAGGUUAAUGGUCAUCGCUUAAAAUCUUUUUAUGAAGGUUUUUCGGUGAAUAUUAUGGAGGAUGUGGCUCUCGAGAGUCCCAAUUAUGGAGAUUGAUGCAUAAAUGUGUCUAGCCAAAGACAUAAAAGAAAGGCGCUUUUUGGGAGGCAACCCAAAUGAUUUGUUUAUUUUGGUUUUUGUUUUAUCUUCUUUUAGUUUUGAUUCAGAUUUAAAAAAAAAAAAAAAUUUGUGUUUGCUUAUUUUGGUCAGAAGAAAUUUUUUGAUAAGGCGUGCCCACGUUUUAACUAAUAAGUACUUCUGUAAUUUUUCAAGAAAAAUAGUUUUAAGACGUGCCCACGUGCUUAUUAAAAAAGUACUUCUGUAAUUUUUAAAGUAAAAUAGUUUUAAGGCGUGCCCACGUGCUUAUUAAAAAAGUACUUCUGAAAUUUUUGGUGUCUCAAAGUGAUUCAUCACUAAAAAAAAAAAAAAAAAAAAUUUACUGUUCACAAAAUCCCUAAUUUUCCAAAUCUUGUUUUCUUCUCCAGCCGCUUGCAGCACACCAGCAGCAAACCAGCCCGCCAGAAAACGCACCACCCCGCGCGCGCAGCACCAGCAUCCCGUGUCUCGCAAGUCCAACCAGCGCGCAACGCAAGCCCCAGCAGCGCAGCGCGCAACGUAAGCCCCAGCUGCGCGCGCAGCACGAACCAGCCCCAGCCCGAGCACGCAACCCAACAAGCGUCACCAGCGCAGCACCAGCAAUCCCCCAGCGCGCAGCAACAGCCGCAGCACGCAGAUCCAGCGUCACCAGUUCGUAGCAUCAGUCCCAGCCCACACGCGCAACACAACCAGCACCAACCCGCGAAGCACAACCAUCCGCGCGCAACUGAACCAACAGUCGUGUAUCCGCAAGCUCCAGUCGAGCAAUAAUAGUCCGCAACCAGCCUACAACCUGCAUUCCAGCCGCGUGAAUCAAAAUCCGUGACAAGAUGGAGCAUAAUUUGGCCGCAUACUUCGAGAGUGUGGGUUUUACCCCACCAUUUCCUCCAAGCCCAUAGACGUUAUGUGGAUCAAAGCUCACAAUUCAGGGAAGUUUCUUUUUGCCCUUAAUCUUUUAUCCUUACGCUUUAAUUUUUAUAUGAGCUUUAAUUAUCUUACAUUGGGGACAAUGUAAGUUCUUGGUGUGGGGGAGGGAUUUUUGCAUUAUUGAUGUCUGGAAGUAUUAUUUUCACUCUACUCAUCUAUUUUCAUUCUACUCAUCCUUAAAUGAUUUUGGAGUUAGUAUGCUUCAUAUAUUAUUAUUUUUCUUUUCUUUUCUUUCUCACUACUUUUUUCCCAUCUAUCUCAAAUUAUUUACAUCUAUUUUUAUUCUAUCAUACUCUUUCAUCACUCACAUUUUAUCUUUCACUUUUCAUAUUACUACAUACAUCUUUCUCACUUCUUAUCAUUUUUACCUUUCCUUCACUCAUACCUUCUUCCCAUUCUACACCACUAUUGAUGGUUGAUUCAUUUGAAGAGUGUACAUGAUUUGAUGGCAAAUUUACCAACUUUGUGAGGAUUUGAGCCUAUGAGCAACCACUUUGCUCUAAUUAUUUUUAUUAUGUGAAUAUCAAUCUUAGUUUGUUUAUUCUAGAACUUGCUUUGUUAUGCAUGUUGAAGCCACAUUACGGGAUUUUUUGCAUUAAAAUGAUAAGGGCAAACCAUUUACCAUUUUUCUAUUCUCGCAUUUUCUUUUUUUUUCUCUACCCGAAGACCUUGAUUUACUAUCUUUGUUUGAGCCUUAACCAUUACCCAUCUAAUUCUCUCCGUCUACUUAACCAUUUUUCUUCUUUUUGAGCCUCAAUUUAAGGAGAUUUUUGGACUCAUUGUGUGGAUAUAUUUUGUAUAUAUUUUGUUGCUUUUUCUACCUUGUAUUAAAGUUUCUCAAUUAGAUCAACAAGCAUUAUGCUUGAAUUAAAUUGUGCAAGGUUCAUUUCUUUUGUUUGAUUCAAAAAAAAAGGAAAAAGAAAAAAAAAGAAAAAGAAAAAUAAAAAAAAAUCAAAAAAAAAAUCAAAAAAAAAGAGAAAAAGAAGAAAAAAAAAAUGUUUACAUUCGUGGUGACUUGAGUAGAAAUAAGCAUUUUGAUAUCAUAAGUUCAUUCAAUGAGUUCAUUCUUCUCAUUUUGAUCUCUUUUUCUUUCAUAGACCUUUCUUUUUCAUUUAACCUAUUUAACCCCAUUACAACCCUUUUAAGACCCUUAGAUUUUUGCAUUUUAUUCAUGUUUUGUGGAUUGAGAUGUGAUAUAUGAGCAAGCUUAUGGUAAUAGCAUUCUUUGAUUUGAUUUGAGUGCAUAGAUGAUACCCUAAACACUUUGAGUGCAUGGAGUGAAGUCAUUGAGAGGGCUAUUAAAUCUUGUUGCACUUGAAUUUUGAAUGGAUCUUCUUGGUGGUUAAAUGUUCUUAUUCUAUCUUAUGAGAUUCUAUGCUUUAAAAGUCCUUGUCUCUCGAAUGUUGAUCGACUUAAUUUCUUGAGGUAUGCUUGCUUAAAAUUAUUUUUGGAUGAGUUGAGAUGAGAAUUGAGUGGAGAUUUGGGAUUAAUCUUGAGUUAUAUGCUUGAGGACAAGCAUCAUCUUGGUGUGGGGGAAUUUGUUAGAGUGCAAUUUAUGCACUAGUUUUGCAUUGUUUACUUCCCUUAAUAUCGAUGUUUUGCACUUAAUAAUAAUGUUUUACUUGUGUUUUACUUUUGUAGGUGCAAUUCUAUUGAUUGGUGAUAAAAUUGAGCUAAAAGAUGAUGUUUAAGGAGGAUUGUUCUCUUGGAGAAAUUAUGAGCGUCAGAAGAACUUUGUUGAUAAGGCGUGGGCGCGUGCUGUCAACUGCGGACCUGCAGUUUUUAGUUUAACGUGUUUUGUAUUUUUGGUUAUUUUUGUAAUUACGAAUUUAAUAUUUCAGAUAUUAGUAUUUUAUUUUAAAUAGAAUUCUAAAAGAGAAGAGAGAGAGAGUAUUUAAGGGAGGAAUCUAUUGUGAAAAAGGGGGGAUUUGGAUUGGAGAAAAACAAAGAAACCCUAGAUCUUAAUUUUUCUCUUCUCUCUAUGAAGAACUAAACCUAUUUUUCUGGUUGAAGGAUAAUGAAGCUUUGAUUCAUCACUACUGUGAGAUCUUUCUUGUGCUUUAAUUGUUUUAUUGUUUUUUGGGUAUUUGUUUAUUCUCUGAAUUAUUUUCAUGAUUAUGUUUGUUAAUUAGGUAAUUGGCCACUAUUUAAUUAUCAACUUAAUCUAUUGUCAAUUAAAGGAUUCAUCGUAUGAAGAAUUUAAUGUUUGUGACAAAUAACAUAGCAGAGAGUUGUGUUGUGAGAAUAAACAAUCUAAUUUAAAUGAAUCAUCAUAUGUGUUGAUUAGGAUUUGGGUUUCUCUGGUUUUUCAGGCUGUCAAUUGAUUAAAUCCUAUGAUCGUAUCUAGGGUUGUCUAUUGAUUAGGGAAAUAACCAACGGUCGUACCUUGGUUAUCGACUAGUUAAGGAGAGAUUGGCUAUUAGAGGGUCUCAGUAGCUAUAACCGGUCUAUUCAUAAGUAAUAAUAAUCUAUAUUUGAAUCAAUGAUCAGUAGUCGAAUCAAGCUGAGUUAAUUCCUUCAACCAGAGCUUUCUCCAAUUUGAAUCACAACUUUAAUUUACAUUCUCGUUAUUUUAAUUUGAUUUUUAUUAUUGUCAACAAUUCCCCCAUUUUACGUUUUACGUUUUAAAAGGAUUUAAAUAAUUACCGAUCUCUGUGGACACGACCCUGCUCAAUCACUAUACACAAUUUAUUUAGAGUAGGAAUUUAUUUUUGUUGGCUUCGACACCCAUCACCUUCUAUAAUGAUAGCAAGUAUUGAUAUGCUUACUCCGAUCAAGCUGAUUUUUACAGUAUCAUGUUCCUCUCGUCAAGCUCUUCGAUUUGAUAUGCUACAUUGUGGAGACUUGAUUACUAGCUCUAGUACAAUUUUAUUGAGAAUUCUGAAAAAUCAAACACUUUUGUAUCAUUAAAACUCAACACUCAUACAACUCUCAAAGCUCGAAACUCACUCCAAUACAACUUAGAUUUUUCUUCUUAUUGUAAUACUAAAAACAAGUGAUCAAGAAGCUAUUUAUACUAGCUUAUGAUCAAUCCACACCACACAUAUAAACAAAGCCAAUUAUUUCAUAGCCAUACAUUUGUUCCACUAACAAAACAUAAGCCUAACUCAAUCCAUUCAAGCAUACCUAACUUAUUCCACUAACAAUAAUUCACACACCUAACAUGGUAAACAGUUUACUUCCACAACAAUUUUUCUUGUUUUGUUAUUAUUAAUCCACACCAUGGACAGCAAUUUGCGACUUCAUGUCGUUCUCACCACUAAGCUUUCUUUAGAUAGAAAGACUGUAUACAAAAGUAAGCAAAUAAAUAAAAUUAAGCAUCUUGUCCAUCUUGAUCAAUUUUUUUUGUAUAUAUACAAUUUUAUUUUUC